AUUGAACGCUGGCGGCAGGCCUAACACAUGCAAGUCGAGCGAGAGGCGGACGGGUGGGUGAUGUAGGGGGAUCUGCCCGAUCGAGGGGGAUAACUACUGGAAACGGUGGCUACUGCCGCUUACUAUCCGUUGGACCCAUAGGGGAUUAGCUAGUAGGUGUGGUAAAGGCUCACCUAGGCGACGAUCCCUAGCUGGUCUGAGAGGAUGAUCGGCCACACUGGGACUGAGACACGGCCCAGACUCCUACGGGAGGCAGCAGUGGGGAAUAUUGCGCAAUGGGCGAAAGCCUGAUGCAGCAAUGCCGCGUGUAUGAAGAAGGCCUUAGGGUUGUAAAGUACUUUCAGCGGGGAGGCGUUACCCGAAGAAGAAGCACCGGCUAACUCCGUGUCAGCAGCCGCGGUAAUUC
rnacentral:rRNA from 1 species